AUGAAUGAGGUUGCUAGCAUUAGUAGAACCUCUCAUGUCAAUGUCGUCACCCUCUUAGGGUUCUGUUUGCAAGGUUCGAAACAAGCUCUCAUCUACGAGUACAUGACCAAUGUCUCACUUGAGAGAUACACUUUUGCCAACAACUCUGCUCAAGAUCCGAACACACUAAGCUGGGAAAUACUCUUUAACAUUGUUCUUGGCAUUGCUCGAUGCCUUGAGUACCUUCAUCGUGGGUAUAAUAGUCGCAUCGUGCAUUUCAAUAUUAAGCCUCAAAACUUUCUGCUGGAUAGAGACUUUUGUCUAAAGAUGUCUGAUUUUGGAUUAGCAAAACUGUGCCAGCAGAAGGAUAGUAAAAUCUCUAUAGGUGGAGCAAGAGGAACUGUAGGGUACAUAGCACCUGAGGUGUUUUCAAGACAGUACGGAGUGGUGAGCAGCAAGUCGGAUGUGUGCCGUUGUGGGAUGGUGGUUUUUGAGAUGGUUGGAGCAAGGAAACAAAUCAGUGUUAGUACCGAAAGUAGCGCCAUGUAUUUCCCUCAAUGGGUAUAUGACAACUUGGAUGAGUUCUGUGGCACCAUCGACGAAAUUACUAGUAACGAUGUCACGGAGCUGGUGAGGAAGAUGACUCUAGUUGGACUCUGGUCCAUACAGUUAACACCCACAAAUCGACCGUCUAUGAGCGAAGUCCUUGACAUGUUGGAAAGCAAUAGCAAGGACUUGCAUCUUCCAGCAAAAGCA
rnacentral:rRNA from 1 species